rnacentral:lncRNA from 1 species
GUGAGUGCCUCUGGUUGUGCUAUGUGGGACGCCGCCUCAGGAUGGCCUGAUGAGCUGUGCCAUGUCGGCACCCAGGAUCCGAACCGGCAAAACCCCAGGCCACCGAAUAACAGUGGCCAUUGACAGAGACUGUACUCCAGAGCUCUGCAGUCUUCCUCCUCCAUGGCUAUGAGAUAAAGCCUGCACAGGUUCAGUGGACGGGGACAAGCGCACCUGCCACACCAGUGUUCUAACAGUGGCUGAGGAAGAGUGCUGCUGCUGCCCCUGGUUUAGCAAGACGAGGCCAGAGCUUCUCUGCAGCACCUUUCAGACUGGUGAAAACCAGAUUGCAGAACUGCUGCUCAAGGUGCCGUAAGAAUAGCUGCGGUAAGAGGGUAAAAUGCAGGAGCCACCGUUGGGAAGCCAUCAGAUAGCUCUGCAACCAUCGACCCCAGUAACCUCAACUUUUACAGUGAUUAUCUACCAUCAUAUACACAACUUGAUAGAACAUUAUACUUUUUUUUUUUACUACUUCCAGCUCCAAAAUAUUCGGGCUUGCAAGACAUAGAUUUUCAAAGAUUUUUCUUUUAUGGGCCACCAUCUGCAUUUUACCUAUCCUUUCCAUAAAAGCAAGGAAAUAUUUUGUUUAGAAAGGUGAACAUUAGUUUAUCCUGCAACCCACGGAUAACUGGUACUUCUAGCCAGCAAAAAAAGCACAUACACAAAAACUUCUUU